rnacentral:rRNA from 1 species
GACGAACGCUGGCGGCGUGCUUAACACAUGCAAGUCGAACGGAAAGGCCCUGCUUUUGUGGGGUGCUCGAGUGGCGAACGGGUGAGUAACACGUGAGUAACCUGCCCUUGACUUUGGGAUAACUUCAGGAAACUGGGGCUAAUACCGGAUAGGAGCUCCUGCUGCAUGGUGGGGGUUGGAAAGUUUCGGCGGUUGGGGAUGGACUCGCGGCUUAUCAGCUUGUUGGUGGGGUAGUGGCUUACCAAGGCUUUGACGGGUAGCCGGCCUGAGAGGGUGACCGGCCACAUUGGGACUGAGAUACGGCCCAGACUCCUACGGGAGGCAGCAGUGGGGAAUAUUGCACAAUGGGCGGAAGCCUGAUGCAGCAACGCCGCGUGCGGGAUGACGGCCUUCGGGUUGUAAACCGCUUUCGCCGGUGACGAAGCGUGAGUGACGGUAAUGGGUAAAGAAGCAACGGCUAACUACGUG